rnacentral:lncRNA from 1 species
CUGGGCAACAGAGCGAGACUCCAUCUCGAAAGGAAAAAAAAAAAGAAAGAAAGAAAGAAAAAGAAAAAAGACAACCCAAGUUUUUAGCAGGCACUUCCAAAAGAGGACAGCUGUUUCAGUCAGCUUGGACUACUAUAGCAGAAUACCAUAGACUAGUUGGUCAAACAACACACAUUUACUUCUCACAGCUCUGUAGGCUGGAAGUCUGAGAUUAGGAUUCCAGCAUGAUUGUGUUCUUUUGAUGGUCCUCUUUGAUUUGCAGAUGGCUGUCUCCUCAUUGUAUCCUCACAUGACAGAGAGAGAAAUAAUCUCUCCCUCGUCUCUUCUUAUAAAGGCACUAACCCCAUUCAUGAUGGUUCCACUCUUCUGACCUAAUUACUCCUAAAAGUUCUAUCUCCUAAUACCAUCAUAUUGGGGGUUAGGAUUUCACAUAUAAAUUUUGGCAGGGGCACAAAUAUUUAGUGUACAACAAUAUCCAAAUAGCCAUUGAGCCUAUGAAAACAUUAGCCGUGAGGGAAUCACAAAUUCAAAUCCUAACUCUACGCAUCCAUCAGAAUGGCAAAUUUAGAAAUCAAAACAGUAAAAAUCCAUAGUGUUGACACGAUGUUGACACCCACAGUGUUAAGCAAUGGAAACUCUCACUUACUACUAAUAGGAGAUUAUUUGUACAACCACUUUGGAACAUUCUUUGGCAGUAUCUGUUAACGCUAAAACAUGUAUUCUUUGACCCCCAAAAUUCACUUCUAGGUUUACACCCAACAGAAACGCAUCUAUAUGUGCACCAGAAGACACAUUCGAGAAUGUCCAUAGCAGUAUAAUUUAUAAUAGUAGAAACAUUCAGAUUCUAAUAAGAGUGGAAAUGGAUAAAUAAAUCUUGUUAUAUUUGUACAUGGAAUAUUACAUAAUAAAAAUAAACAAGCCAGACAUGGUGCCUCACCUGUAAUUCCAGUGCCUUGGGAGGCCAAGGUGGGAAGAUUGUUCAAGCCCUGGAGUUUGAGAACAGCUUGGGCAACGUGUCGAGACUCCAUCUCUCCAAAAAAAUACAAAAAUUAGCCAGUUGUGAUGGUGUAUGCCUGUGAUCCCAGCUACUUGGGAAGCUGAGGUGGUAUGGGUCACCUGAGCCUGGGAGGUCGAGCCUGCAAGUGAAUUGAGUUGGUGCCACUGCACUCCAGCCUGGGUGACACAGUGGGACCCUGUCUCGAAAAAAAAAAAAACUACUGCUACAAUAUUAAGUGAGCGGAGACAGAAUCUAAAGAAAACAUGUUGUAUGAUUCUGUUUAUGUAAAAUUAAAACACAGGCACAAAUAGUCAAUGCCAUUAGAAUAGUGGUUACCUUCAAGGAGAUAACGAGUGGGAGGGGACACCAUGAGGGCUUCUGGUGAGUGAUCUGGGUGGUAGUUACAUGGAGUUUACUUUGUAAAAAUUAAUGAAGCUGUUAACUUAUGUACAUUAUUACUUCAAUAUGAAACUUACUUUAAAAAACAGGUUAUAUAAUAAUACGUACCCUCCAAAAUUAUGCACACAUUAUCACAAACAUGCUGAAAAGAUACCAAAAUGUUAAUGGUGAAUAUCAAUGAGUAGUGAGAUUUUCAUUUUUGUGAUUUUGUUGUAUUUUUCAAAUUUACUUCAAUGAACCAAAUUACUGUUGUGAUUAGAAAAUAUCAUUAAAUAUUACUUACUAUCACUCUAGGAACUGUGUGAAAGAUGGGUUGGGGAGAGGUAAGACAGGAAUGUCAGGAGGCGUUGGUAACAGCCACGUGAGAGGGGAUGAGGGUCUGACUGGGGUUGUGUGGUUAGGGAGGUGGUGCAUUAUGUUGAAAUCAGGAGCACAAGAGGAGUAGAGGCCUCUCUCUCUUUCCUCUUUCUCUCUCUGGGGGAGGGGCAAGGAGCUGGGGAAGUUCAGUUUUAAACAUGUUAGGAUUGGGUUCCCUUUGGGAUAUCCAAGUAGAGAUGUCUGUAAAUAAUUUUAAUUGUUAUGUAAAAUGUCUAAUUUCAACAUUACCAUUUGAUAUGACCCAGUCUGAAUACAUUGAGUCACCAAAUGAAGGAAUUUUUUCUGUGACAUCUUCCCUUCUUGGCCCCAUGCAUUCACAAAUUAGUUCUUUAUAUCAUAUAAAUGAGAAAACAGUGCCCUGAUGAGUAUUAUAUUCUCUGCUGGAGCUUUUUCUCCUUUAAGGUGAGUUUUCAUGGCACAAAUUACACCUCAGGAAAAAGGCACAACUUCUUGCAAGACAAUGACUAAAUUUUAGAAGAUGAAGAUUAAAUGGCCAAAGAGCUAUAAUUACCUCAUUAUUAAAGAUUCUAACAUUCAAAAACCAAAGAAUUCACUAUUGAAACUCCAAGGUAGUUAAGUGACUGAUAAUUAUUUUUCUUCCUUAUCUGUAUACCUAAUGUAAAUCAGGGAAAAGAAAUUGAGAUAGAAAAAAGUCUUAAUAACAAUUUUGAGGUUCCACAGUAAAAACUUUAUCAAGAAAACCUAGUUAGAUGAUGAUAUACAUACUACUAUAGGUGUAUAAGUAGCUGGUUGCUACCCCCAUGCUCCAAGAGUUCACAAGUGGUUCUUUAAUGCAUACACUCUUUAUUUUGUAUUUAUUAGAGUAUAUUUUAUAUAUACAUAUAUAAUAGCUUAUUUUAUACACUCACGGUCCUUAAAUUAUAAUCAUUUGCAGCAUAAGAGAGUCUUAGUUAGAAGGUUGUCCUUAGAUGACACAAGAGUAAAUGAUACAGUAAUAAUGGAAGACCAAAUUUCAACCGAUCUGCGCAACUGAGUCUGCCAAAUCUUGCUAAAUUUGCUUGAUUGAAAAUUUCUUCCUCUCUUUCUCUGUGUCCUGUACAAUUUCACAAAAUAAUCCUAAGAUUUGGAUGCCCAUGUGCUGGCAGUAUCUUUUAGUGGUUGGUUGUUAAGUUUGAUCAUAUAACCAAAUUGGUGAAAGGGAUUUAUAUAUAUAUGUAUAUAUUUAAUAUUCAUAUUGAGAAAAGCACAAAGUCAUUUCCAUUUUCUUAACCUAAUAAAAUGUAGCUCUCCUUUGGGUUAUUGUUCAUUCAAUAAUAUAGACUGGACUUUCACAUUAGCAGAAAUGUUACUGCAUCCAAUAGAUUGUAUCUUACUAUUCUCUGUCCUUUCCAAAAUCAUGCUCUGCAUGAAACUUUUGGUUUAUGGGGGUUUCCCCUCAUGACAGUACCAACUUGAAUGUGUUCUGUAAAAUGUCACAUUGUCCAAAACUGGUUUUUCUAGCUUUUGUGAAGAUUAUAUGGUCUGUGGGUUCUGCCUGGUAAGUUUUUGUACAUCACCGUACGUCUCUGCUCAUGGUGAGCAUUGCAGACUGAGAACAGCUCUACCUUUGGUGGUUGUUUUAUGUUUCCUCAGUGACUGAUUUUUAUUAGUUUCAAAAGAUAACAAUAUAUGCAUGCACACACGCUGAUGUUUCUGAAGGGCAUUGUGAUGAAAGAUUAGAAUGCUUUUUGCCUUCCUCCUGAUCAAACAGUGGGUCUUAGGGAGUAUGGGUACAUUUACUUUGUCACCAAAAAGAAUAAAAUCUGUUGACAUUGUUACUUGUCACUCAUCUUCAUUCAUUCCUUUUUCUUUUUCAAAUUAUACUCUAAGUUCUGGGAUACACGUGCAGAAUGUGCAGGUUUGUUGCACCCAUCCGCCCGUCAUCUACAUUAGGUAUUUCUCCUAAUAGUAUCUCUCCCCUAGCCCCCAACCCCUUGACGGGCCCCAGUGUGUGAUGUUUCCCCUCCCUGUGUCCAUGUGUUCUCAUUGUUCAGCUCCCACUUAUGAGUGGGAACAUGCAGUGUUUGGUUU